AGUGAAUAGAUACCCGGGUAGUCCACGCUGUAAACGAUGAGUGCUGGACGUUGGCGGGUUUACCUGCCGGUGUCGCAGCUAAACGCGUUAAGCACUCCGCCUGGGGAGUACGGCCGCAAGGUUAAAACUCAAAGGAAUUGACGGGGGUCCCGCACGAGCGGUGGAGCAUGUGGUUUAAUUCGACGCAACGCGCAGAACCUUACCAGCCCUUGACAUGGGCGGACGGGGUCCAGAGAUGGACUCUUUCUCGCAAGAGACCGCUACACAGGUGCUGCAUGGCUGUCGUCAGCUCGUGUCGUGAGA
rnacentral:rRNA from 1 species